rnacentral:rRNA from 1 species
GACGAACGCUGGCGGCGUGCUUAACACAUGCAAGUCGAACGCAAAGGCCCUGCUUGCAGGGUACUCGAGUGGCGAACGGGUGAGUAACACGUGGGUGAUCUGCCCUGCACUUCGGGAUAAGCCUGGGAAACUGGGUCUAAUACCGGAUAGGAGCCAUUUUUAGUGUGAUGGUUGGAAAGUUUUUUCGGUGUAGGAUGAGCUCGCGGCCUAUCAGCUUGUUGGUGGGGUAAUGGCCUACCAAGGCGGCGACGGGUAGCCGGCCUGAGAGGGUGGACGGCCACAUUGGGACUGAGAUACGGCCCAGACUCCUACGGGAGGCAGCAGUGGGGAAUAUUGCACAAUGGGCGCAAGCCUGAUGCAGCGACGCCGCGUGGGGGAUGACGGCCUUCGGGUUGUAAACUCCUUUCGCUAGGGACGAAGCUUUUUGUGACGGUACCUAGAUAAGAAGCACCGGCUAACUACGUG